rnacentral:rRNA from 1 species
AACGCUGGCGGCGUGCGUAACACAUGCAAGUCGAACGGUAUUUUGAAAGGAAAAGACUACGGUCUUGGAAAGACAAAAGAGAGUGGCGAACGGGUGAGUAACGCGUGAGCAACCUGCCUUCCACAAAGGGAUAGCUGCCGGAAACGGUAAUUAAUACCAUAUGAAUAACGAAUCGCAUGAUAAGGGAACUAAAGAGAAAUCGGUGGAAGAUGGGCUCGCGUCCGAUUAGCUGGUUGGAGAGAUAACAGCUCACCAAGGCGAUGAUCGGUAGCCGGCUUGAGAGAGUGAACGGCCACACUGGAACUGAGAGGCGGUCCAGACUCCUACGGGAGGCAGCAGUGGGGAAUUUUGCACAAUGGGGGGAACCCUGAUGCAGCGACGCCGCGUGAGCGAAGAAGGAAUUCGUUUCGUAAAGCUCUGUCCUAUGGAAAGAUAAUGACGGUACCAUAGGAGGAAGU